rnacentral:sRNA from 1 species
GCUAGGCGCAGUGGUGCAUGCCUGUAAUCCCAGCUGCUUGGGAGGCUGAGACAGAAGGAUCACCAGUUCAAAGCCAGCCUCAGCAAAAGCAAGGCACUAAGCAACUCAGUGAGACCCUGUCUCUA